rnacentral:tRNA from 1 species
CAGGGAAUAGUUUAAUUAGAAUUUCAGCUUUGGGUGCUGAAGGCGAAGCUUGAAGUUUCUUCCCUGA